ensembl:lncRNA
GUUGAAUAUAUAUUUGAACAUAUAUUUCUAAUUGCAUUCUGCUUUUGGUUUCUAAGGUUUGUUUGUUGGCUGAUUUGUUUGCUUUUGUUUUUCUGUUCAUUUCCUCCAGAAAAUUGAGGAAUCGUUGUGUAUUUCAGGUAUGGAAGAUAGAAAUCUAUUCCACUAAAAUGAGAAAGACAGUGAAGUCUCUGAAGAAAACUGCUUUAACUCAGCUGACCAGAAGGUCUGACAACUGUGACCAAGCUUAUUUGUAA